GACGAACGCUGGCGGCGUGCUUAACACAUGCAAGUCGAACGGAAAGGCCCUGCUUUUGUGGGGUGCUCGAGUGGCGAACGGGUGAGUAACACGUGGGUAACCUGCCCUUGACUUUGGGAUAACUUCAGGAAACUGGGGCUAAUACCGGAUAGGAGCUCCUGCUGCCUGGUGGGGGUUGGAAAGUUUCGGCGGUUGGGGUUGGACUCGCGGCUUAUCAGCUUGUUGGUGGGGUAGUGGCUGACCAAGGCUUUGACGGGUAGCCGGCAUGAGAGGGUGGCCGGCCACAUUGGGACUGAGAUACGCCGCAGACUCCUACGGGAGGCAGCAGUGGGGAAUAUUGCACAAUGGGCGGAAGCCUGAUGCAGCAACGCCGCGUGCGGGAUGACGGCCUUCGGGUUGUAAACCGCUUUCGCCUGUGACGAAGCGUGAGUGACGGUAAUGGGUAAAGAAGCACCGGCUAACUACGUG
rnacentral:rRNA from 1 species